UGGGGAAUCUUGGACAAUGGGCGCAAGCCUGAUCCAGCCAUGCCGCGUGGAUGAUGAAGGCCUUAGGGUUGUAAAAUCCUUUCGUGGGGGACGAUAAUGACGGUACCCCAAGAAGAAGCUCCGGCUAACUUCGUGCCAGCAGCCGCGGUAAUACGAAGGGGGCUAGCGUUGUUCGGAUUUACUGGGCGUAAAGCGCGUGUAGGCGGGUCGUUAAGUUGGGGGUGAAAUCCCGAGGCUCAACCUCGGAACUGCCUUCAAAACUGGCGACCUGGACUCAAGCAGAGGCAAGUGGAAUUGCGAGUGUAGAGGUGAAAUGCGUAGAUAUCGGAAGGAACACCAGUGGCGAAGGCGGCUUCCUGGUCCAACACUGACGCUGAGGCGCGAAAGCGUGGGGAGCAAACAGGAUUAGAUACCCUGGUAGUCCCUGAGCGGGC
rnacentral:rRNA from 1 species